rnacentral:rRNA from 1 species
CGUGCCUCCCGGAGCUAACGCGUUAAAUCGACCGCCUUGGGAGUACGGCCGCAAGGUUAAAACUCAAAUGAAUUGACGGGGCCCGCACAAGCGGUGGAGCAUGUGGUUUAAUUCGAUGCAACGCGAAGAACCUUACCUGGUCUUGACAUCCACAGAACUUUCCAGAGAUGGAUUGGUGCCUUCGGGAACUGUGAGACAGGUGCUGCAUGGCUGUCGUCAGCUCGUGUUGUGAAAUGUUGGGUUAAGUCCCGCAACGAGCGCAACCCUUAUCCUUUGUUGCCAGCGGUCCGGCCGGGAACUCAAAGGAGACUGCCAGUGAUAAACUGGAGGAAGGUGGGGAUGACGUCAAGUCAUCAUGGCCCUUACGACCAGGGCUACACACGUGCUACAAUGGCAUAUACAAAGAGAAGCGACCUCGCGAGAGCAAGCGGACCUCAUAAAGUAUGUCGUAGUCCGGAUUGGAGUCUGCAACUCGACUCCAUGAAGUCGGAAUCGCUAGUAAUCGUAGAUCAGAAUGCUACGGUGAAUACGUUCCCGGGCCUUGUACACACCGCCCGUCACACCAUGGGAGUGGGUUGCAAAAGAAGUAGGUAGCUUAACCUUCGGGAGGGCGCUUACCACUUUGUGAUUCAUGACUGGGGUGAAGUCGUAACAAGGUAACCGUA